CCUGACGCGGGGCUCGAACUCACGGACCGCGAGAUCGUGACCUGGCUGAAGUCGGACGCUUAACCGACUGCGCCACCCAGGCGCCCCAGACUUUGGGUUUUAUUCCAAGUAAUGUCGGAUACCCUUGGAAGAUUUUGAUCAGAAGAUAACAUGGUCUGGCUUCUAUCUUAAAAGGACCUUUCCGGCCACUGUUAAAAAUAUAUAGUGGAAGAGAAUGGAAGCAGGGAUUCAGCUUAUAAGGCUUUUGAAAUAAUCCUGGUGAGAGAUGAUGAUGGAUUGGCAGUGGAGAUGAUCAUCAACCUAGAAGAGAAACAGUGAAAGGAUGGAGGGAAAUCUGGGCACUGUUUGGGCUCUGUGUUCAGAGACAAGGUACUUCCUACAGUUGGGCUGCAGCAGUUUUUAGAAGAUGACUAGAGCUCUAACAAGAACACCGAGCUUUGUCAAAGACACCGUCUGGAAGAGAACAUUCUCGCUUUCAUGAAGAGCUCUGUUUCAGCACAAGAUUACAUAUACAUGCUAAAAGGUUCUAUCAGCUAGCCUGGGCAGGCAGAGUUUCUCUUGCUGUACUAAACUUACCUC